UACGUAGGGUGCGAGCGUUAAUCGGAAUUACUGGGCGUAAAGGGCGCGUAGGCGGCCUUGUCAGUCAGGCGUGAAAGCCCCGGGCUCAACCUGGGAACGGCGCUUGGGACGGCGAGGCUGGAGUUCGGGAGAGGAGAGUGGAAUUCCCAGUGUAGAGGUGAAAUUCGUAGAUAUUGGGAAGAACACCGGUGGCGAAGGCGGCUCUCUGGACCGACACUGACGCUGAGGCGCGAAAGCGUGGGGAGCAAACAGG
rnacentral:rRNA from 1 species